CUAUUAUUUGCAUAGUUACUGUGCCGUUUUCGUAUUGCAUAAUUUUAUUUCGAUCGGGUUCAAUAUUCUGUUUAUACUAAUUAUGGUAGCCAUGCGGUUUGCCUGGCGUUUUGGCUGUGAAGUUUGGUGAUGUUGGCCUCCCUAAGGAUUUUUUCACCCUCUCACAAGGUGUGUCCAAUAAACAGUACAGUCACUGAUCUUUGUCAACUUUUAAAGAAAAUAACAGAAUAUGAAGAAGGAAGACUAUAUAUAGGAUCGAUCUACUUCAUAACUGGAAAAAGAGAAGCAGUUCACAAAAUGUUGAUGAGCAGAAGAAAAGAAACUCUGGCUGCACAAAAAUCUGAGCUCUUGAAAAAGAAACAAAAAAAAAAGAAAUGAAAAUAUGAAUGAUAUUCAAUCAAAGGAUCCAAAUGAUGAAAUUCUGGAAAUUCCACAUGGAGAGACAAUAAGGAUUUUUGAAUUGACCAUCUCUGCUCGAACUGCUUGAAAGCACUGAAAACUGUUUCCCUGGUGCUGAACAAACUUUUCUCCUAGACUGGAAUUAAAAACUGUUCAAUUUCUGGCAUUAAAACACAAUUUGAAACAUGCUGAGGAAGGAUCCCCCUCUCCUUUUGACCAAGUAAGGUUAAACAUUCUGCAAAGAGUUGCAUUUGAAUUGAAUUUUUUUUAUACUUUUACCAGGAAUGAACUACAU